UUUCUCGCCACCCCCUCGCGGGGCUCGGGUCGGAGCUUUCCCUCUUUUCCUGUAACUUUUGCAUCCGCUUCUCCCGUCUGCCGCUCCCACGCCGGACCCCGAGGGCUCAUUGCGGCCAACGCGGAGCUCGGGUCCCUCCCCGGAUUUGUGCUGAAUUCAAGAGCUUGUUGGGGCUGGGAGCAGAGGGCUGGGGCUGAGCAGAGCGCCUGGAUGGUUUCUAAAGGAAAAUGCUUCUGCUUUUUCCUUGGGAGUGUGUUUCCAGGAGGGCAAGCACCAUGCUCCUGGCACAGCUAAGCAUCAGCUUCUUAACCACGCUCACUACACGUAGUCUGCAGCCAGGGGAGCUCCACAGCAAGAGGCACGAUGUCCAGCAUCCUGCUGCACUACGGAGAGC